rnacentral:rRNA from 1 species
CCUACGGGAGGCAGCAGUGAGGAAUAUUGGUCAAUGGCCGUAAGGCUGAACCAGCCAAGUCGCGUGAAGGAAGAAGGAUCUAUGGUUUGUAAACUUCUUUUAUAGGGGAAUAAAGGUAUCCACGUGUGGAUAUUUGCAUGUACCCUAUGAAUAAGCAUCGGCUAACUCCGUGCCAGCAGCCGCGGUAAUACGGAGGAUGCGAGCGUUAUCCGGAUUUAUUGGGUUUAAAGGGUGCGUAGGCGGUCAGGUAAGUUAGAGGUGAAAGCUCGAUGCUCAACAUCGAAACUGCCUCUGAUACUGUCUGACUAGAGUGUAGUUGCGGAAGGCGGAAUGUGUGGUGUAGCGGUGAAAUGCUUAGAUAUCACACAGAACACCGAUUGCGAAGGCAGCUUUCCAAGCUAUUACUGACGCUGAGGCACGAAAGCGUGGGGAGCGAACAGGAUUAGAUACCCCUGUAGUC